rnacentral:rRNA from 1 species
AGAGUUUGAUCCUGGCUCAGAUUGAACGCUGGCGGCAUGCCUUACACAUGCAAGUCGAACGGCAGCACGGGAGCUUGCUCCUGGUGGCGAGUGGCGAACGGGUGAGUAAUAUAUCGGAACGUACCCUAGAGUGGGGGAUAACGCAGCGAAAGUUGCGCUAAUACCGCAUACGAUCUACGGAUGAAAGUGGGGGAUCGCAAGACCUCAUGCUCAUGGAGCGGCCGAUAUCUGAUUAGCUAGUUGGUAGGGUAAAAGCCUACCAAGGCUUCGAUCAGUAGCUGGUCUGAGAGGACGACCAGCCACACUGGAACUGAGACACGGUCCAGACUCCUACGGGAGGCAGCAGUGGGGAAUUUUGGACAAUGGGCGCAAGCCUGAUCCAGCAAUGCCGCGUGAGUGAAGAAGGCCUUCGGGUUGUAAAGCUCUUUUGUCAGGGAAGAAACGGUGGACUCUAAUACAGAUCACUAAUGACGGUACCUGAAGAAUAAGCACCGGCUAACUACGUGCCAGCAGCCGCGGUAAUACGUAGGGUGCAAGCGUUAAUCGGAAUUACUGGGCGUAAAGCGUGCGCAGGCGGUUGUGCAAGACAGAUGUGAAAUCCCCGGGCUCAACCUGGGAAUUGCAUUUGUGACUGCACGGCUAGAGUGUGUCAGAGGGGGGUAGAAUUCCACGUGUAGCAGUGAAAUGCGUAGAGAUGUGGAGGAAUACCGAUGGCGAAGGCAGCCCCCUGGGAUAACACUGACGCUCAUGCACGAAAGCGUGGGGAGCAAACAGGAUUAGAUACCCUGGUAGUCCACGCCCUAAACGAUGUCUACUAGUUGUUGGGUCUUAAUUGACUUAGUAACGCAGCUAACGCGUGAAGUAGACCGCCUGGGGAGUACGGUCGCAAGAUUAAAACUCAAAGGAAUUGACGGGGACCCGCACAAGCGGUGGAUGAUGUGGAUUAAUUCGAUGCAACGCGAAAAACCUUACCUACCCUUGACAUGUACGGAAUCCCUGAGAGAUUAGGGAGUGCUCGAAAGAGAGCCGUAACACAGGUGCUGCAUGGCUGUCGUCAGCUCGUGUCGUGAGAUGUUGGGUUAAGUCCCGCAACGAGCGCAACCCUUGUCAUUAGUUGCUACGAAAGGGCACUCUAAUGAGACUGCCGGUGACAAACCGGAGGAAGGUGGGGAUGACGUCAAGUCCUCAUGGCCCUUAUGGGUAGGGCUUCACACGUCAUACAAUGGUACAUACAGAGGGCCGCCAACCCGCGAGGGGGAGCUAAUCCCAGAAAGUGUAUCGUAGUCCGGAUUGUAGUCUGCAACUCGACUACAUGAAGUUGGAAUCGCUAGUAAUCGCGGAUCAGCAUGUCGCGGUGAAUACGUUCCCGGGUCUUGUACACACCGCCCGUCACACCAUGGGAGCGGGUUUCACCAGAAGUAGGUAGCCUAACCGUAAGGAGGGCGCUUACCACGGUGGGAUUCGUGACUGGGGUGAAGUCGGAACAAGGUAGCCGUAUCGGAAGGUGCGGCUG